rnacentral:tRNA from 1 species
GGAGAGAUGGCAGAGCGGUUGAAUGCGCACGCUUGGAGAGCGUGUAACGGCCGAAAGGUUGUUCUAGGGUUCGAAUCCCUAUCUCUCCGCCA